rnacentral:rRNA from 1 species
UGCACGCUACGGGGCGCAGCAGUCGGGAAUAUUGCGCAAUGGAGGAAACUCUGACGCAGUGACGCCGCGUGCAGGAAGAAGGUUUUCGGAUUGUAAACUGCUUUAGACAGGGAAGAAAAAAGACAGUACCUGUAGAAUAAGCUCCGGCUAACUACGUGCCAGCAGCCGCGGUAAUACGUAGGGAGCAAGCGUUAUCCGGAUUUAUUGGGUGUAAAGGGUGCAUAGACGGAGAAGCAAGUUAG